rnacentral:lncRNA from 1 species
GGGUUAACAUCUGAGCUCUCUGGGGACAGCUUUACUCUAACUGGCCCAAAUUUGACCCCUUGACCCCAAGAGCUUAGAGGAGGGGGUGAGCAGAGGGUAUAGAUCAGGGAGUGUUGUCUCAUUGGUCAGCCUGGCCUGAUGAUGUGUUUGCCUGUCAUUACGAUUGGGGAGUUGGGGUAUCCAGGCCGCAUGCUUGCCUCUGGAGCUGGGCUGGUUUGUGCAGAAUAGAGAUGUGGAUUCUAGAAGUGGAGUGUACGCAGGCCACAGAAACCAAGGCAGGCUGGAGGACUAGCAAGCAUCCUGCAGGUGUUUAGGUCUCAGUGCCAAGCAUUUAGGCCAGUGAGGGCCUGAGAAUCUCCAGGUCAUAGACAGAGCUCAGGAGAUGAUGGUCACUCGGGGUCUCCCCAGGCUAGGUCCACUCAGAAUCCUGUUAGAACUGGGUGUGGUGGAGAGCUGGAUCAGCUAAAAUGUGUUUCUGUUCUGAGAGUGAGAGCAUGAAUUUGAUCCCCAGAUCUCAUGUUUUGUUUUGUUGGGUUUUUUUUGGGGAGGGGUUGGUUUUUUUUUAUUUUUUUAUUUUUUUUUUUAUUUUAAAGUAGACCUGACUCGCUGCUCUUUCAGAGGACUGGAGUUCAGUUCCCAGCACCCAUAUUGAGUGGCUGACACUGCCAUCUUCUGGGGAUCAAGAACUCAUCUGGACUCUAUAGACACCUAGAUAUACCACGCCACACAAAUACAUACACUAUUUUAAAGCAGGCUCUUAUAAUCCUAGUGCUGAGGCAGGAGGAUUCCUGGGGCUUACCACCCACCAGCUUAGAGUCCCCAGUGAACUACAGGCCAAUGAGAGGCCCUAUCAAAAGAUAAUAAAGCCAGACCCAGUGGCACACACCCAUAAGCCCAGUGCUUGGGAGGCAGAAGCAGGGGCAGGUGGAUUUUUGUGAGUUCAAGGCCAGCCUGGUCUACAUUCUGAGUUCUAGGCAAGCUAGAAUUACACAGUAAAACCCUUUUCAAGGUAGAUAGAUAGAUAGAUAGAUAGAUAGAUAGAUAGAUAGAUAGCAGAAUUGGAGAGAUCACUCAGUGAAUAAUGGUGUUCGUCACCAAGAAUAGACUUGAUCCUUGGAAGGAAAGAACCUGCUCCCACAAGUUGUCCUCUGACCUCCACACAUGUGCCAUGGGACAUGCAUGCCACCACACACCCAUACUCCCUUCAUCAUGAAUACACAUGAAACACAUGUUAAAGAUUAAAGUGGAACAUAAGGAGACACUUGAGGUUGUCCACUGGCCUCUAUAUGCACACACAAGCACACACACAUGCACACACAUUAAGAAAAGCAAGCGCUAGCCGGGCGUGGUGGUGCAUGCCUUUAAUCCCAGCACUUGGGAGGCAGAGGCAGGUGGAUCUCUGAGUUCGAGGCCAGCCUGGUCUACAAAGUGAGUUCCAGGACAGCCAGGGCUAUACAGAGAAACCCUGUCUCGAAAAACC